ensembl:lncRNA
CACUGAAUCAGCGGUAGGAGUCCUGGAUGAUCCCCGGUCGUGCGGCCCCUCCCCCGCUCCUUCCCGACCUGCGCCGCAGCGAUCACAGACUCUAGGGGAGGGAGCAAUGUUCUCUCCUACCGUUCCAGUGCCUCCAAAGGGGUAAAGCUAGGCCACACAGGUAGGGUGAUUCCUAAAGUGUAAUCUCUCUGUGUUGACCGAACUCUGCCUUCUGCUCACCAACAUCAGCAGGGAAGAGAGAAGAGCAGUACCAUUUGCCCAAGGAAUGUCCAUCACUCAUCUGGAAUGGCUUAACACUGACCAGGCUGACUUAGGAUGCUGUCACCACAUCAAUCAGAGACAAGAGAAGACAUCAGUUGGAGGGGCUGUUGGCUUAUGGAGUAAUGGUGUGGAAAGCCUUGAGAGGAGAUAGCACCUCGAUGAACACCUCAUCGCACCUCCAGCAUCCCCCCGUCAUGCUGAUUUCCAGACUCAAGUGCUGAGCAGUGAGACCGGCCUCCGUGGUGGCAGCCUAAGGCCAAUCUCUGCAGCAGCAGGAGCAGAUUCUCAUGGCUGGACUCAGAGUUCCCAAUCAGGUUCGGCAGGAGCCCAAAGGCUAAGAACAACGGGUGUUGUGUGACUGAUCAUCUGUCCAGUAAUUGCUGAGGAAAGACCCCACAAAAGGGCCUGUAGAUGGUGACCCCAGUCCAUACUGUAAAGGUAUAUAAGGGAAGCCUGAAGAUGGUGGAGGUAAAGAGUUCAGAGUGAAGAUUCCUUGGAGAGAGUUGAGGGUGUUCUGUUCAUCUUUGUUGCCUUUCUCCUGUUGAGGGUGGGGAUGGGGAUGCUCCCCGUUUUAAAUAAGGGGAAUCACUCAGAGAGCUUGACAGGCAUCCUUGGAAUUUGAGGGCUGUGGGGACUAGCACUUGUCUCUCCUCUAAACAUUAAAUGAUGAGAACCUGGCUGGAGCACCGCUCCUGGCUACAGAGCAAGGACACAAGGCUACAAUGGGAAAGGACACACCUCUGGAGUACAAAGGGACAAAAGUUCAUGCUCCCAUGAGCCAGAUAUGAAGCCUAGAAAUGGAGUCUUCAAGACUCAUCUCAAAAGGGAUUCUGCCCAAAUGGACUCCUGGAGAUGUUGGAGUCGGACUCCUGGAGAAGUUGGAAGCAGGGACUGGUUGUGACGGCCAGUGAGUGGAGGCCUCUCUGGUGCCAGGUAACUGCUGUCGAAGGCCUCCAGCAGGGCCAUCUCAUGAAAACCUCCUAAUAUGAGAAGGUCAGCUUAGAAUAUCUGCUGUGCCAACCAACCAACCAACACUAAUUACAAAUGUCCUGGUGGAGUCAACUCUCUUUCCCUUCCCCUCCCCACUCACCAGUCCCAUGGGGGCCAGGGCCCCAAGUGAGGAGAGAGGAAGAAGUAAGCGAGGCUGGGGUAAGAGGAAGAAGCCAAGCAGAUCUCCUGCCAGAGGCAGUGCUGACCUGGGGGACGGGAAACCGGUAAAUUGAUGAGACAUUUCAGGCGGACAUUUUAAUACCUAAAAGUAACUACAGGCAUGAGAUCAGCAUGACAUUCCAUUAAGGGCCAGGAAAAAUGAG